GCAUCCGCUUCUUUUUUCGCAGCUUCGUCAGAUUCUCUUCCUCGUCGUCUUCGUCGCCAGCUUGGUCUUGGAUCAGGAAGUCUGGAACUUUGGAAGGUUUGAGGAGAACUUACCUUCGACUUCUAGGUGAACUUCUGGCAUGGUGACUCCUGAGAGAUCAUCGACCUGAGACGAGUCACUCGAGAACUCGAACAUGGCGAGAAAGCUCUCUGCAAGAAGAAACCUCUGUUGAGAUCUUCUCAUUCGCUCAAGGAAAUAGAAAAAAGAAUGGAACCUGUAGUGUCAGUCAUCCAGGAGAAAUCCCUAUGAGCACGUUUUCUCUCGUUU